AAAAAAAAAAAAAAAAAAGCCUGCGCGGCUUGGCCCUCUAUGCAUCGUAAAAGUGUAGUGGCGGGCGUGCGUAACAGCUCCUCUCCUCUGCUCUCCGAGGCUGAGGCUGUCUUCCACUGCGGAUGGAGAGCGGAGGGAGGCCGGGCACGGAGCAGGACGCCAAGAGGUAUCAUUUGGUGCUGGGAAAUUCAGGAUUUAGGGAUCUUGGUAGCCUUUUGGAAAUCUCAGUCAAGUGUUAUUGACACCGUAAAUUAAGGGAGCCUCAUCGGGUACUUGACGGGCUCAAGGCAUCAACAGCAAACUUCUGUCACAGCGGACAUAACAACAAACCUGGCACGGGCAAAUAGUGGAGCGACUGUGGUUGUUAAGGAGUGGCUGGCACGAGUCGCCGAGCCGGGCCAUGUGGGGCGUAAAUGAAGAAGCAUGGAGGCGGGUACAGCGGAGGUGUCGGGAAUCAAAAGCCCGUCUGAGGGUCAGGAUCAGUGAGUAAAGUCACAUUUCUAAUA